GUCCUCAGUUGCCAUCAUUAGGUUGGGCACUCUGGGGAGACUGCCGGUGAUAAGCCGCGAGGAAGGUGUGGAUGACGUCAAGUCCUCAUGGCCCUUACGGGCUGGGCUACACACGUGCUACAAUGGCGGUGACAGAGGGAUGCCAACCCGCAAGGGUGCGCCAAUCUCGAAAAGCCGUCUCAGUUCGGAUUGCACUCUGCAACUCGAGUGCAUGAAGUUGGAAUCGCUAGUAAUCGUGGAUCAGCACGCCACGGUGAAUACGUUCCCGGGCCUUGUACACACCGCCCGU
rnacentral:rRNA from 1 species